UGGACCCUCUCCAACAGCUCCCUGUCUUUCUUGUACUGGGGCUCCAGGCCUGGAUGCAGUACUCGAGUUCUGCAGGUUCUGUGGGUUCCCACCGCCCCGUGCCCACAGCCCUUGUUCUCCAGUCCACGUCCCCACAGGUCCUGAUCACCUCCCUCUGGAGAAGGAACUGUCCCCACCACCCAUCCUGACCCCACCUCACCCAACCUGAGGCCGUCCCGUCAUCCUACCGCCGUUACCCUGCAGCACUGCCUUAUUGCUGCACGAAGCUCUUCAGCACAAUAAACUUGUCAGAGCACCAAUCCCUUUGUUUUGUUACACUGAAAUGACACUUGAAGUCAUUCUUACUAUUCAAGAAUUUUAGUUAGUGAAAAGUUGAGUGCAUGGAAUGAUUUAAGCUUACAGAACUUCUGAUUUCUUACUGUGAUCUUCAGGGCACUGCUGUCUUCAUGUCACUUGAACACAAGGCAAAAUGUGAUGGAAAGAGGAAUACCUGAAGGGCCCAGCAGUCCUUGGUGGUGACCAGCAGCCUGGGAAUGUCAGGCAGCAUCAGGACCCACUGGGUGCUGCAUCGCUGUGACCUCUGGAAUGAGCCAACAGCUCCCACCUUCCUUCUCCACCCCAGAGCACCAUGCUGGAGCCGCUGUUCUCUUGUACACCUCUGUAAGAUGUGAGCAAGCAGGCAACCCUUCCACUUACACUUCAACCUUACUAAGAGAGGACUGAGGGCUCCGAAGAUAUCCCACCUGGGGAAGAACCAAGAUCCAACCAACAGCACAUUCCCAAAGCUGCACUCUUCACUUCUGGUUUCCUCAGCAAAACUGAAUAGGAAGUAAAGUUAAAAAUUAAAUGUGAGCAUUCAACCAACACUCGAGGGCAGGCAGUCGGAGUACAAUGCAGUCAGCAGCUCCCUUCUUACAGUAGAAGAUAACUGGAACCCUGUCUAAUUCUGAGUCCAGCAUCUUGCAAGCUACAGAAACUCUGACCAGCUUAGAAGGAUGCAGAAAUGCUUGCUUCAGCUAAGCCUUUUUAUUAUUUUUUUAAUAACAGUAAUUGAAAACAUCUUGCUAAUCUUUGUUUCUCUUAUGGGAAGAAAGCAACCUGAAAGGAAGUUUUUUAUGAACGUUCAUUUGAAAUCCCAUUACAUCGGUGUUUGCCUAUCAGCAUUCUGGUAUUUUUUUCUUGUGCGACAGCAAUUCCUGUCCCAGCUGUGUGUGCUCAUGCUCACGCUGCUUUGGGAGCAUCACAGAACCAUAGAAUGGCCUGGGUUGCAAAGGCCCACAGUGCUCAUCCAGUUCC